rnacentral:rRNA from 1 species
CAUGACUUNCAGAGCCAUGGAUUNUUGCUUCGGGAACAUUGAGACACGUGCUGCUUGGCUGUCGUCAGCUCGUGUCGUGAGAUGUUGGGUUAAGUCCCGUUACGAGCGCAACCCUUGUCCUUAGUUACCAGCACGUUAUGGUGGGCACUCUAAGGAGACUGCCGGUGACAAACCGGAGGAAGGUGGGGAUGACGUCAAGUCAUCAUGGCCCUUACGGCCUGGGCUACACACGUGCUACAAUGGUCGCGUACAAAGCGGUUGCCAAGCCGCGAGGUGGAGCUAAUCCCAUAAAACCGAUCGUAGUCCCGGAUCGCAUCUGCAACUCGACUGCGUGAAGUCGAAUCGCUAUAAUCGCAAUCAAAUGUCCCGGUAAUACUUCCCGGG